rnacentral:rRNA from 1 species
UACGUAGGGUGCAAGCGUUGUCCGGAAUUAUUGGGCGUAAAGGGCUCGUAGGCGGUUUGUCACGUCGGAUGUGAAAGCCCGGGGCUUAACUCCGGGUCUGCAUUCGAUACGGGCAGACUAGAGUGUGGUAGGGGAGAUCGGAAUUCCUGGUGUAGCGGUGAAAUGCGCAGAUAUCAGGAGGAACACCGGUGGCGAAGGCGGAUCUCUGGGCCAUUACUGACGCUGAGGAGCGAAAGCGUGGGGAGCGAACAGG